UACGAAGGGGGCUAGCGUUGCUCGGAAUCACUGGGCGUAAAGGGUGCGUAGGCGGGUUCUUAAGUCAGAGGUGAAAUCCUGGAGCUCAACUCCAGAACUGCCUUUGAUACUGAGAGUCUUGAGUAUGACAGAGGUGAGUGGAACUGCGAGUGUAGAGGUGAAAUUCGUAGAUAUUCGCAAGAACACCAGUGGCGAAGGCGCUCACUGGCCCGAUACUGACGCUGAGGUGCGAAAGCGUGGGGAGCAAACAGG
rnacentral:rRNA from 1 species